CAGCCGCCACGGUAAUACGAAGGGGGCUAGCGUUGUUCGGAUUUACUGGGCGUAAAGCGCACGUAGGCGGAUCGAUCAGUCAGGGGUGAAAUCCCAGAGCUCAACUCUGGAACUGCCUUUGAUACUGUCGAUCUGGAGUAUGGAAGAGGUGAGUGGAAUUCCGAGUGUAGAGGUGAAAUUCGUAGAUAUUCGGAAGAACACCAGUGGCGAAGGCGGCUCACUGGACGCGUAUUGACGCUGAGGUGCGAAAGCGUGGGGAGCAAACAGGAUUAGAUACCCCCGUAGUCCCUGUCUCUUAUAC
rnacentral:rRNA from 1 species